UUAAGUUAGAGCAGGCUGCAAACCCUCCACCUGGAAAUGUGUCUGCACUGCUGUCACCAGCCUGCCUGGGUCUCGGCUCCGUCCUUCCCUUGGUGUGUCCUGGGGUAGGCAUUGAAUGAGAAAACCAUGGUUGCAGAGACAACACAUCCUUUCCUUGAACAGUGUGCACUUGAGGAACGAAUUAAGACCCGUAAACAAGGAUGAAAGCCACCGCCAUGCAGACUUCAGCUCCUCCUCCAUGAAGGACGCCGCCUGGGAGGUGAGUCCAGGCCGGGCCAGGGAGGGCCUCCUGCGGGAAGGUGCAUUUUCACCUUACAGCUGGAAAGUAGACAGCUGCGUCACAGUUUCACUCAUGCCGGUCUCUUCCUGUGCACAUUCAAUGUUAACAUUAUUCUGGCAAAAGCCUUGCUGCAGAUAGUCUCUCCGGUCCCUCCUACAUCUCUUUCCAGAAGACAGUUUAAAAGGACACAUUUCAUCACCUCUCAGAAGGGGUUAACAUCACAGAAUUCCAAGUCUGAGGGUGGAGCCCUGAUCCCAAGAAGGUUUUGUUGAGUUCAGGACAGUAUUUCUUUACCCAUCCUUCAUGAAGAUAAAAAAUGAGGCAAAAUAGACACUAAAAUGGUCUCUGACAUCUCCUCAUGCCACCAGACAAGGAGUAACCAUGGUAACCAGAAGCCUAGAAAAAUUGGGGAAUGAGGAAGACCAGGAAUGAGAGCUCCCCUCAGCCCUGGGGGGACCUGAGUGUCCACAGCUGAGCCUUCUCUGCUUCCCUCUUCUCUUCCGGAUUCUGAUGGAGGAUAUUUUCAUCUUCCUCCCAAAAUCAUCAGAAAGCAUAAGGACAUAUAUAAACCGCUUUGCAAAAAGAGAGUGUAUGGAAUAAAAGAGAAAAUGAAGAAGAGGAGAAAGGCUGGAGUGCAAUGGUGUGAUCUCAGCUCACUGCAGCCUCAACCUCCCUGGCUCAGGUGAUUCUCCCACCUCAGCUUCCUGAUUAACUGGGAUUACAGGAGCUGGGAGAUGGGAACGUCACUAGACCACGAGCCGGAAUUGCUGCAGAAGGAUUCCCACACUCUGGGCCUCCGUGGGCACCACGAGUACUGGAUGUGCGACCCCAGCUCUCUGGGUCUCAGUUUCGUCUCCUGCAGAGCAUCUGAGCUAGACCGUCUCUAAAAUUUCAUCAAGCUCCUGUGUUCCAUUCUAUUCUGAGAUGCCCAAUUCUUAUGCCUGCUAAAAACCACAGUGAGAAAUAAUAACCUAUGUCCAAAUUUUUGUUUCCUAGGAGAAAUAUCAACAUGCGUCUGCCAAAUAAAAUAUUGUAUUAAAUGA